CCCGCACAAGCGGUGGAGCAUGUGGUUUAAUUCGAUGCAACGCGAAAACCUUACCCACCUUUGACAUGUACGGAAUCCUCUAGAGAUAGAGGAGUGCUCGAAAGAGAGCCGGAACACAGGUGCUGCAUGGCUGUCGUCAGCUCGUGUCGUGAGAUGUUGGGUUAAGUCCCGCAACGAGCGCAACCCUUAUCCUUUGUUGCCAGCGGUCCGGCCGGGAACUCAAAGGAGACUGCCAGUGAUAAACUGGAGGAAGGUGGGAUGACGUCAAGUCAUCAUGGCCCUUACGACCAGGGCUACACACGUGCUACAAUGGCGCAUACAAAGAGAAGCGACCUCGCGAGAGCAAGCGGACCUCAUAAAGUGCGUCGUAGUCCGGAUUGGAGUCUGCAACUCGACUCCAUGAAGUCGGAAUCGCUAGUAAUCGUGGAUCAGAAUGCCACGGUCGAAUACGUUCCGGGCCUU
rnacentral:rRNA from 1 species